rnacentral:rRNA from 1 species
UGCGUAGGUGGUUUCUUAAGUCAGAGGUGAAAGGCUACGGCUCAACCGUAGUAAGCCUUUGAAACUGGGAAACUUGAGUGCAGGAGAGGAGAGUGGAAUUCCUAGUGUAGCGGUGAAAUGCGUAGAUACUAGGAGGAACACCAGUUGCGAAGGCGGCUCUCUGGACUGUAACUGACACUGAGGCACGAAAGCGUGGGGAGCAAACA